rnacentral:rRNA from 1 species
CCUACGGGCGGCAGCAGUGGGGAAUAUUGGACAAUGGGGGCAACCCUGAUCCAGCCAUGCCGCGUGUGUGAAGAAGGCCCUCGGGUUGUAAAGCACUUUCAGUGAGGAAGAACGCCUGGUGGUUAAUACCCAUCAGGAAAGACAUCACUCACAGAAGAAGCACCGGCUAACUCCGUGCCAGCAGCCGCGGUAAUACGGAGGGUGCGAGCGUUAAUCGGAAUUACUGGGCGUAAAGCGCGCGUAGGUGGCUUGAUAAGCCGGUUGUGAAAGCCCCGGGCUCAACCUGGGAACGGCAUCCGGAACUGUCAAGCUAGAGUGCAGGAGAGGAAGGUAGAAUUCCCGGUGCAGCGGUGAAAUGCGUAGAGAUCGGGAGGAAUACCAGUGGCGAAGGCGGCCUUCUGGACUGACACUGACACUGAGGUGCGAAAGCGUGGGUAGCAAACAGGAUUAGAUACCCUAGUAGUC